UACGUAGGGGUGCGAGCGUUAAUCGGAAUUACUGGGCGUAAAGCGUGCGCAGGCUGUUCUGUAAGUCAGAUGUGAAAUCCCCGAGCUCAACUUGGGAACUGCGCUUGAAACUACAGACUAGAAUAUGUCAGAGGGGGGUAGAAUUCCACGUGUAGCAGUGAAAUGCGUAGAGAUGUGGAGGAAUACCAAUGGCGAAGGCAGCCCCCCUGGGAUAAUAUUGACGCUCAUGCACCGAAAGCGUGGGGAGCAAACAGG
rnacentral:rRNA from 1 species